AUACGGAGGGUGCAAGCGUUACUCGGAAUCACUGGGCGUAAAGCGCGCGCAGGCGGCUAUUUAAGUUGGAUGUGAAAGCCUACGGCUCAACCGUAGAACUGCAUCCAAAACUAUUUAGCUAGAGUGUGGGAGAGGAAGAUGGAAUUAGUUGUGUAGGGGUAAAAUCCGUAGAGAUAACUAGGAAUACCAAAAGCGAAGGCAAUUUUCUGGAACACUACUGACGCUGAGGCGCGAAAGCGUGGGGAGCAAACGGGAUUAGAAACCCUAGUAGUCC
rnacentral:rRNA from 1 species